UACGUAGGUGGCAAGCGUUACUCGGAAUUGAUUGGGCGUAAAGAGCUCGUAGGCGGUUCGUCGCGUCGGCUGUGAAAACCCGGAGCUCAACUCCGGGCCUGCAGUCGAUACGGGCGGACUUGAGUGUUGCAGGGGAGACUGGAAUUCCUGGUGUAGCGGUGAAAUGCGCAGAUAUCAGGAGGAACACCGGUGGCGAAGGCGGGUCUCUGGGCAACAUACGCGCUGAGGAGCGAAAGCGUGGGGAGCAACAGG
rnacentral:rRNA from 1 species